UACGUAGGGACCAAGCGUUGUUCGGAUUUACUGGGCGUAAAGGGUGCGUAGGCGGCGCGGUAAGUCGGGUGUGAAAUCUCGGAGCUUAACUCCGAAACUGCAUUCGAUACUGCCGUGCUUGAGGACUGGAGAGGAGACUGGAAUUUACGGUGUAGCGGUGAAAUGCGUAGAUAUGACAUAGAACACCAAUUGCGAAGGCAGCUCACUACACGAAUAUUGACACUGAGGCACGAAAGCGUGGGGAUCAAACAGG
rnacentral:rRNA from 1 species